rnacentral:rRNA from 1 species
GACGAACGCUGGCGGCGUGCUUAACACAUGCAAGUCGAACGGUGAAGCGCCUUCCUUUUUGGUGGGUGUGGAUGAGUGGCGAACGGGUGAGUAACACGUUAGUAACCUGCCCCCUUCUUCUGGAUAACCGCAUGAAAGUGUGGCUAAUACGGGAUAUUCUGGGUCUGUCGCAUGAUGGGUCUGGGAAAGAUAUUGUUUCGGUGGGGGAUGGGCUCGCGGCCUAUCAGCUUGUUGGUGGGGUGAUGGCCUACCAAGGCGGUGACGGGUAGCCGGCCUGAGAGGGUGGACGGUCACACUGGGACUGAGACACGGCCCAGACUCCUACGGGAGGCAGCAGUGGGGAAUAUUGCACAAUGGGCGCAAGCCUGAUGCAGCGACGCCGCGUGAGGGAUGGAGGCCUGCGGGUUGUGAACCUCUUUCGCCAGUGAAGCAGGCCUGCCUCGUUUGUGGGUGGGUUGACGGUAGCUGGAUAAGAAGCGCCGGCUAACUACGUG